UCGAGAAUCUUCCGCAAUGGGCGAAAGCCUGACGGAGCAAUGCCGCGUGGUGGAUGAAGGCCCUCGGGUUGUAAACACCUGUCAGUAGGGAGGAAAUUUUGACCGAUCUACAGAGGAAGUCCGGGCUAAGUACGUGCCAGCAGCCGCGGUAAUACGUACCGGACGAACGUUAUUCGGAAUCACUGGGCUUAAAGAGUACGUAGGCUGCCUUGAAGGUGAGAUGUGAAAUCCCAUGGCCUAACCAUGGAACUGCAUUUCAAACCACAAGGCUUGAGGGAGACAGGGGUAAGCGGAACUCACAGUGGAGCGGUGAAAUGCGUUGAUAUUGUGAGGAACACCGGUGGCGAAGGCGGCUUACUGGGUCUUUUCUGACGCUGAGGUACGAAAGCUAGGGUAGCGAACGGGAUUAGAUACCCGCGUAGUCC
rnacentral:rRNA from 1 species